rnacentral:rRNA from 1 species
AACGAACGCUGGCGGCAUGCCUAACACAUGCAAGUCGAACGAGACCUUCGGGUCUAGUGGCGCACGGGUGCGUAACGCGUGGGAACCUGCCCUUAGGUUCGGAAUAACUCCCCGAAAGGGGUGCUAAUACCGGAUAAUGUCUUCGGACCAAAGAUUUAUCGCCUUUGGAUGGGCCCGCGUUGGAUUAGCUAGUUGGUAGGGUAAAAGCCUACCAAGGCGACGAUCCAUAGCUGGUCUGAGAGGAUGAUCAGCCACACUGGGACUGAGACACGGCCCAGACCCCACGGGGCGGCGGGGGGGGGGACAUUUGGAAAGUGGGGAAAAUGCUGCGCCGCCAUGCCCGGGGGGGGGAAAAACGCCUUGGGGUUGUAAAGCUCUUUUACCCGGGAUGAAAAGACCAGACCCGGGGAAAAAACCCCCGGAAACUUCCUG